GCAGAAUGUAGAUAGGGGUGGGAAGGGAUAUGUAUCUUUGGUGGUGGCGUCUGACUAUGGGUUGCCCAGGUGUGACCUAUCCACAAUAAAGCAGCACAAAUGCAACCCACUUAACACCUAAUCAGUCCACUUGCUGAUGAAAGCAGCUGUCAAUAGUGUUAUCAGUGACAAUUGCUUCAUAUAAAUCUGCUGAGUGAUGCUCAGUUUGGCAUCUUCCUGCGCCACUGUCUCCUGACCUCUUGACAGCCUUGCUUCAAAGGUAGACACGAGUUGAACUGCAGAGAUGAGGGAGGAACAGUCCUCAGUGUGAGGGCAACAAUUGGCUGAAUUGACUUGUUGGGCUGCCAGUUGUUGAGGAUGGGUGUACUUAUGCAGCUGCUUCCUUGAGUUAGUUGUUUGAAUUCCACCAUGAUUUGUCUCUGGAUGUGGCAGGACUGCAAAGGUUAGAUCUGAUCUAUUGGUUGUGGAAUCAGUUGCCCUACCAAAGCUGAACUCUAUGGGAACCUUGGGAAUGGUGGAGGGAUAACUCUUCGCAAGUUGGAUUUGUCCCUUGCAUACAGGAAGAUGAUUAGCUUAUUGGAGGUUGGUCAUUUUGGCUCCAGAACAUUGCUGCUCAAGAGAGUGCUUUUUAUUUCCUGGCUCAGCCAUCUUCAGCUACUUCAACAGUGAUCUACCAAGCAUUGUAAGCUCAAAUCUCUUCAGUUAUCAACGAAGAAUAUUCAGCAACAUUCACAUAUGCGACACUGAAGCAGUCCAGUCCAUACGCGGCAAGGCCUGGACAGUAUUUGGGUGUGAGCUGAUGAGAAGCAAUUAUCAUUCAUGCCAGUCAAUGACUAUCUACAAAAAAAACUAUUCAACCCUUGACAUUCAAUGUCAUUACUUUAACUUCUCUAACAACUUCUUUCCCCCAGGUAUGACCAGCAAUCUAUUUAGAUGUUUUCUGAACUCCAAUAUUUUUCCUGUCUGAGCAAGUUCGUAAGGGGACACCCUGCCUGAGAGGAUUUGAUAUCUAACUAUAUUGAAAGAGGGUCCCCCACAAGCCCUAUCACUCAAAAUGAUAAACACAUACCCAAGCAACAA